CAGAGUUUGAUCCUGGCUCAGAUUUAACGCUAGCGGUAUGCAUAACACAUGCAAGUUACACAAAUUAUUUAUUUAAUAUUUUUGAUAUCGGUUUUAUUACGAUAUAUUAUUUUUAUUAAUUGGUAGCAUAUAGGUGAGUAAUGUAAAAAUACAUAAUUAAUUGAUUUUAUAAAUUUUUAACAGAAUGUAAUAUAAUAUAAUUUAUACUCAUGUGUGUAUAAUAAAUAAUAUAAUAAUAUUAUUAUAUUGCUUUUAAUUUGGUUUUUAUCAGAUUAGUUUGUUGGUAAUUAAAAGCUUACCAAGACGAUGAUCUGUAGCUGGUCUGUAAGGACGGUCAGCCACAUUGGGAUUGAAACAACGCCCAAACUUUUUAGGAAGGCAGCAGUGAGGAAUUUUGGACAAUGAGCGAAAGCUUGAUCCAGCAAUACCGCGUGUGUGAAGAAGGGAAACUGUAAAACACUUUUCUUUAUUAAUAAGUUUAUGUCAUAUAAAUUGAACUAAGUAAAGGAAUAAGUACUAGCUAAUUACGUGCCAGCAGCUGCGGUAAUACGUAGAGUGCAAGCGUUAAUCGGUUUUAUUGGGCGUAAAGGGUGUGUAGGUGGUAUAUUAUGAAAUUUUUAAAAUUAAUAAGCUUAACUUAUUAUAGAAAAUUUAACUAAUAUACUUGAAUUUAAGUUGAGGAAAAAGAAUUUUACAAGUAGUGGUGAAAUACGUAGAUAUGUAAAGGAAUACCAAAAGCGAAGGCAUUUUUCUAACUUAAUAUUGACACUGAGGCACGAAAGCAUGGGGAGCAAACAGGAUUAGAUACCCUGGUAGUCCAUGCCCUAAACUUUGUCAACUAAUUAUUAUUUAAUUUUAGUUUUAAUUAAUAUUUAAAAUUAAUAUUAUAUAUUUGUUAUUUCUUUUAUUUUUAAUAAUUAAGCUAACGCGUUAAGUUGACCGCCUGGGGACUACGAUCGCAAGAUUAAAACUCAAAGGAAUUGACGGGGACCUGCACAAGCAGUGGAUGAUGUGGAUUAAUUCGAUGCAACACGAAAAAACUUACCUACUUUUGACAUGUAUAGAACUUAAUUGAAAAAUUAGGGUGCCUUUUUAUAAUUAUAUUUAGGAACUAUAACACAGGUGCUGCAUGGCUGUCGUCAGCUCGUGUCGUGAGAUGUUAGAUUAAGUUCUAUAACGAGCGUGACCCUCUUUCUAUGUUACUUUUGUACUCUUAGAAGACUGCUUAUUUUAAAUUUGAGGAAGGAGAGGACGACGUCAAGUCCUCAUGGCCUUUAUAAGUAGGGCUUCACACGUCAUACAAUGGUUAAUACAAUAAGUUUUUUGCUAUUUAGUAAUAAAUUGCUAAUCUUUAAAAAUAAUCCUAGUUCGGAUUAUAUUCUGUAACUCGAAUAUAUGAAGUUGGAAUUGCUAGUAAUCGCAGAUUAGGAUGCUGCGGUGAAUAUGUUCUCAGGUCUUGUACACACCGCCCGUCACACCAUGGAAAUAAUUUUUAUAUAAAGUAUUUAUGUAUUAAUAUACGAAUUGUAACUGGGGUGAAGUCGUAACAAGGUAGUUGUAUCGGAAGGUGCGGCUGAA
rnacentral:rRNA from 1 species